rnacentral:rRNA from 1 species
GACGAACGCUGGCGGCGUGCUUAACACACGCAAGUCGAGCGGUAAGGCCCUUUCGGGGGUACACGAGCGGCGAACGGGUGAGUAACACGUGGGUGACCUGCCCUUAGCUCUGGGAUAAGCCUGGGAAACUGGGUCUAAUACCGGAUAUGACUCCAUGACGCAUGUUGUGGGGUGGAAAGCCUUGUGCGGCUAGGGAUGGGCCCGCGGCCUAUCAGCUUGUUGGUGGGGUGAUGGCCUACCAAGGCGACGACGGGUAGCCGGCCUGAGAGGGCGACCGGCCACACUGGGACUGAGACACGGCCCAGACUCCUACGGGAGGCAGCAGUGGGGAAUCUUGCGCAAUGGGCGAAAGCCUGACGCAGCGACGCCGCGUGAGGGAUGACGGCCUCGG